GAAUAUUUGGCAGGGUUUUGUCAAUAAAAACGUAUGUUACUUAAAAGCUGAGCAACUCGCCAUUUAAAAUUGACCACAUACAUUUGGUCAAGCGCACGGACCUUGGUCUAUUCCCCAUACAUUUACUGACUUUCUUAGUCAAAUACGCAUUGCAACGCCCCGUGCUUCAACCGUCUAUAAGCUGUGAAUUGGCGAAGCUAACAUAUGUCAAAUCGAAAUUUUAGAUGUGCUGACAUACGGAUCUGUAGCGUAGUUCAUGGUCUAGUUUAGAUUGAAGGUGACAGUUUGGUUUUAUAGUUGGCAAAGUGAUUUCAAACACAUCAGUGAAAGCUAUCUUUAUUCUAUGAACUGUAUACUUCAGCUAAUGUGAGAUUAUGCCAUCAUUUAUAGGUUAUAUUUGUUAUGUUGCAACCUUUUCACGUUGCUCAAAAUGGACGGUAGCACUAAAGGUUAUUAACUCUCAUUCUGGAGCGUAAGUGACCUGCCUUUCAUUUUCAACCUUACACAACCUAUUCCUCUGUCUUGGCCGAGGAAGGAACUAUUACUUCCAAAAGGGUGGAUAAUAUGUAUAUUUAUGUGUGUUUAUUGGCAGCAGGAUAAGUACUGGACAAAUGUUAUAAGAUGAAAUCAACUAAAGUGAAACAAAGCUGUCUCACAGUAAUAUGGUAUUUGUCACAGAGCAAUUAAAAUAGAUCUCUCAAAAUGCCCAUACACGCAGAUAUAUAAAUAUGAUUUUAUGCAGAUAGAUCAGCCGUGACCUUGCUGAACGAACCAGCGCUCCAUUUGCCUGAAAUGCUGUAGGAAAACUUUAGUCAGAUUGAACGGAGAGGGCAAACUCCAUGCUCCUGUGUAUGAGACAACUUGUAAUGUCACAUCACCUCAUGAAGAAUGAGAUGUUGGGAUCAGAAAAAUGAUAAGACUGUACUAUUGUGCACUGUAGUUCUUG